CGUACACAAACCUGGAUGGUGCAGCCUACGACACACCCCGGCUAAUGCCCCCAGCCUGAUCCUCCCAGGCUGCAGACCUGCACAGCCCGCUUCUGUGCUCAGUAGGGAAGGCAACUAUAACACAAAGAACUCAAAUGGCUCAGAAUGAUAAGACCUUGACACAGGCAUCUUAAGGGAACUCCUUAAAAUGUGAGGAAAACAAUAUGCUCACCCUUGUCCUUGCCCACUGUGCACAGUAGUGUAUCUGCAGCCUGAGAAAUUCAAGGCUAAAGCAAACAGCAUUGACCAGGCCACCGGGACUGACUCAGUCAUGAUACCAGCCAUGUGGCACAUCUCAUAGGGCAAGUGCUGUGCUACCCACGGGAGGCAACACAGGCCUUGGAAAGCUGAGUAGAGCCAAACUGAGGACUAGCCCCAGGGAGACCUGUCCGGACAAGAGACUAAAGAGGAUGGCCUACAAAGGGUUGCAGAUCCAGUAGUCUAGAUAUAUUGCUUGGAUGUACUUUUGGUCAUGGCCUUGGAGAACAGAACAGUGUAUGGCACCUGUCAAAGCCUUGCGUAGGAGCUUUGGAAACAGAAGGAUUAUCUGUUAUGAGCGUGUAUGACUUCUAUAAUCCAAAAAGAAGACUAUUUCAACAACAAAUAGAAUUAUGGUAUAUAUUUUAAAAAUACAAAAAUACCAGAGUUGUUUUUAUAAAUGAUGGGAUAAAACAAGCAGCUUCUUACAAGCAGAACUAAUUAGAAAUGUAGAUCAAUUGUCAUAGGCCUAAGACAUUUGAUUAGAUGGACUUCAAUUUUUCUUCACCACAAGGUUAACAUGAUAGCUAAAACCAAACAAUGAUUUUCUUGAUAUAUUGUUCAACCCAAAUAGAAAAAGAGGUUUUUUGUUUUUGUUUUUUUAAUUCAGACUUGUGGUUUUCCAGGUGGAAACAAUUUUUGUAAUUGUAAUUGUAAUUGUAAUUUCACCCGUGUGAAAAGAAACAUGAGCCCCCCCGCCCUGAAUGGUUUGACCUAUAAAAAUUUCCAUCACUACUUGAUAACAAAUAAAUUUUUGUUUGUCUGACAGUAUCAUUUUCUUUAUUUAAGUUUCCCGUGUGUUAA